rnacentral:lncRNA from 1 species
CUUACAGAGAUCGUUGACUCACUUGCCUUAUUUUGAGGAGACUUCCAAGCCAAAACAAGACAAUGGGCAGUCACCAGAUCUUCUCUAUGGAGGUGGGAUGAGGGACCUCCUCAGCAAGAUCGCUCUAGAGAAUGCUUGCGCACAGUGGCCACACACACUUCUCCCUGACCUCCAAAAGCUCCCUAUGACCCUUUGUACUGAGCAUUCAAAGUUCCUCAC